UACGUAGGGUGCUAGCGUUGUCCGGAUUUAUUGGGCGUAAAGGGCUCGUAGGCGGCGUGUCGCGUCGGGAGUGAAAGCCCGCUGCUUAACGGCGGGUUGGCUUCCGGUACGGGCAUCGCUGGAGUGCGGCAGGGGAGACUGGAAUUCCUGGUGUAGCAGUGAAAUGCGUAGAUAUCAGGAGGAAUACCGAUGGCGAAGGCAGGUCUCUGGGCUGACACUGACGCUCAUGCACGAAAGCGUGGGGAGCAAACAGG
rnacentral:rRNA from 1 species